rnacentral:lncRNA from 1 species
GCUCCCACAAAUUGGUAUCCGCCGUGGGGCAUGUCCAGUUUCUUUUUCCUCUACCGAACUACAGACGCAGAGCGGGCUUGUCUUUCCGCUUAAUCUCAACCUCGUGUGAUCUGCCAGUUUUGCUCCUGACCCCAAAUUCCAGCGAAACAGCUGAUGCCAGCCAGCUUGAACACCCCUGCCACAGAACAAGGGAAUCAGCCUGAGAAUACAGCUUCUUCAUCUCCCUGUCCCAUGACUUCGCCCUGCACUCUUCAGCCAAUUAAUGAUCUCCACACUUCGGACCACUCCAAAACCCUUAAGAACCUGAGCCUCAAAGUCCUCCUGGAGACGAAUUUGAGGUUUCCUCCUAUCUGUGUUUGGUGGCCCUAUGAUUUAAACCUCUUUCUCUUCUGCAA